UCGGGAAUUUUGGGCAAUGGGCGAAAGCCUGGCCCAGCAACGCCGCGUGAAGGAUGAAGUAUUUCGGUAUGUAAACUUCGAAAGAAUAGGAAGAAUAAAUGACGGUACUAUUUAUAAGGUCCGGCUAACUACGUGCCAGCAGCCGCGGUAAUACGUAGGGACCAAGCGUUGUUCGGAUUUACUGGGCGUAAAGGGCGCGUAGGCGGCUUGACAAGUCACUUGUGAAAUCUCUGGGCUUAACCCAGAACGGCCAAGUGAUACUGUCGCGCUAGAGUGCAGAAGGGGCAAUCGGAAUUCUUGGUGUAGCGGUGAAAUGCGUAGAUAUCAAGAGGAACACCUGAGGUGAAGACGGGUUGCUGGGCUGACACUGACGCUGAGGCGCGAAAGCCAGGGGAGCAAACGGGAUUAGAUACCCGGGUAGUCCCUGAGCGGGCUGGCAAGGCGCAU
rnacentral:rRNA from 1 species